rnacentral:lncRNA from 1 species
GUCUAGAUGAGAGGAAUAGUAAGCAGGUUCUGCUACUGUUUGAUGGACAGAUGGAUUGGCUCAAACACUAGCAUGAGGCUUCAGUCAGAAGUAGAGGACAGGGUGGCCCUCACAACCUUCAGAAAGGACACCAAGCAAAAAUAAAGUCCACAGCAGUCAGCUCUAUCCAGAUCCAGUCACAAGGCUCCUCCAAGGAAAUGAAGACGUCUCACCUAAUGGGAAGCCUAAUGACUAUGGACAGAUGGAAGACAGCUCCUUUUACCACAUAUAUGUUUCACUUUAAUGAAGGGACUGCUUGUUGACAGAUAACUGUUCGGAGAGGGGAGAGAGGGAGAGAGUGCGAUCUGUCACUGUGCUGAUUUUAUUCUCCACCUUCUGUGGAUUUGGGCUUGUAACACUCAAGGCUGAAAUGCAGUUUUUGUGAAAAUAUUAUUUGAUAUAGUACACUCACGGUACAGUACAUGUUUAAUGCCUGUUCGUGGUUAGUGAUUUGCUCAAGCCAGUAGUCAUGGUUUUUAAUAUAGUGUGUGUGAGCGCCGGCACGCUCGCAUGUUCGUGUGUGACUGGCGUAUGUGUCUGUGCUUGUGCUUCCAUGCUUUGUGUGAGUCUUUAUGCUUGUGUCUCAUGUCCAAUGUGCGUGUUUGUGAAUAACAAUGGGCUACCACCAUUUUCCCCUUCAUAACCACCAGGUCAAUACCCCCGCCAGGAUCCCUGCUCCCAACCAGACUGGUUAGAUGUCACAGUGUGUAAAAAUAGAAGCUGGCAAUUCAUUGCAUCCGAUUUAUGAAGUAAUAUCGAGACUGUAACAACACAUUGGAGAGCUGGGGAAGAUUGGUGGUCCACCAGUCAGAUAUUUAGCUCAGCCUUGCUAUACAAUUGAUACCUGCUGUUGGGUGUCAAAAUAGUUUCCAAAAACCUGUCAUCUUUUACCAUCUCCAUGAGAUCUCAAUAACCAAUGUCAACAGCUAAG